CGGGCGCUCGAAACAGAUUUGCCAGAAAAAAAUAAUAUUUGAAAACUUUAAUAACCCAACAUAUGCUCCUAGGUCGAAGGCUGAAAAAAAUAGUCAGAGUCGGGUCCUUACGAUGCCACUUGCAGAAUAUCAUCACUGAAUCAAGCCAUUUCAAGGCAGAUAAGUCAUUUGCGGGCACUCGAAACAGAUUUGCCAGAAAAAAAUAAUAUUUGAAAACUUUAAUAACCCAACAUAUGGUCCUAGGUCGAAGGCUGAAAAAAAUAGUCAGAGUCGGGUGCUUACGAUGCUACUUGCAGAAUAUCGUCAAUGGACUAUGCUAGGCCGUCUAGAUUGUUCAAAAACUGAGAAAAAUGCAUAUUAUCCACAUAGGGGGAAAAGUAAUCAGAUGCAAAUCCUUAUGUUAGCUGGUGGAAUUGACUUUUACAUGAUGAUUUUGAAUGAUACAUUUUUUAUUAAGUACGUUUAUUUGGUUUGAAUUUUUGGUAUUUCAUAGUUAGUAUUUUCUUCGGAUUGGUGUGGUGAAAAUUUGUUGUUUCACUCGGAGGCAAUGUUUGUUUAACCGCUCGUGCUAAUAUUGAUACCCGAGCAAGUGAAAGAUUCAUAUUUGAACCACGAGUGUACCCCCUUGUAAAACAAAUAACUAUUUCUAUUUCACCAAAUUUCAGCAUAUUAUCGUUAACAAUAUUUAAAAAGUAUAAAAAAGCGGCCAAGUGCGAGUCGGACUCGCCCAUGAAGGGUUCCGUACCAUUUAUGACGUAUUAAAAAAACUACUUAUUAGAUCUUGUUCAAACCAAUUUUCGGUGGAAGUUUGCAUUGUAAUGUAUAUCAUAUAUUUUUUAAGAUUUUUCAUUCUGUUAUUUUAGAAGUUACAGGGGGGGGGGGCACACAUUUUUUCACUUUGGAAGUGUCUCUCGCGCAAACUAUUCAGUUUAGAAAAAAAUUAUAUUAGAAACCUAAAUAUCAUUUUUUAAGACCUAUCCCCGACACGUAUGAGUUUUAUGAAUUUUUUUUUUUUAAUUUUAU